GUGCAGCUACCAAUGUCCGCCACGUGCGAGUGCAGCGGUGGCCGCACAUCCUUCUGUUAACCUUCCUGGUAUUCGUUUACUGGGUUGGAGCUCAGAUAUUUUACCUUGAGAAAAUUAGAGUGUUUCAGGCAGGCUUGCGCCCGAAUACAUUAGCAUGGAAUAAUAGAAUAGGACUCUUGUCUCCUUUGUUGGUUUGAGGGACUAGAGUA
rnacentral:rRNA from 1 species